UGAGUUCACCACUAGUCUUUUCUCCAAACACGUUGCGUUUCUUGAGCCUUCAAUCGUAAAAAGCUUAUCUAUCCUCACCACAUUUUUCCCUAUAGUUGGACUUUUUUAAAUGAAUUUGAAAUUUCUAAUUUUUCCUUCUUCAAGACACACGAGACCAUAGACAAAUAAUGGGGUCCAACAUGUAUUUACGAAGUUUCUAUGGUUAUACGCUCGGGGUACAACACAAAGAUGGUGCUUCAAGGAACUUACAAGUCAGAUAUCUUAAUGGUUGAGGUGAGGUUUCUACUCCAUUCAAGCAAAUGAGAGGAUGGGGGGAAGCGACAAGACUCCCGUUUGUUGUUCAUGAUACAACCUUGGAAGGUUGCUUUGUCUUGAUAUUAUUUGAUUUGUUAUCCAUUGAUUAUGAUUUUAGAUUCAAAUUUAUUAGUUUUUCAAUCAAAAUUUCUUGACUUUCUUCCUUUUAAUUAAAAAUUUUGCGAUAUA
rnacentral:lncRNA from 1 species